rnacentral:rRNA from 1 species
GAUGAACGCUAGCUACAGGCUUAACACAUGCAAGUCGCGGGGCAGCAUGGGGGUUGCUUGCAAUCCCCGAUGGCGACCGGCGCACGGGUGAGUAACGCGUAUCCAACCUGCCCUUCACCACGGGAUAACCCGGCGAAAGUCGGACUAAUACCGUAUGUUGUCCAUUGACGGCAUCCGAUUUGGACGAAAGGCUUGGCGGUGAGGGAUGGGGAUGCGUCCGAUUAGCCAGACGGCGGGGUAACGGCCCACCGUGGCUACGAUCGGUAGGGGUUCUGAGAGGAAGGUCCCCCACACUGGAACUGAGACACGGUCCAGACUCCUACGGGAGGCAGCAGUGAGGAAUAGUGGUCAAUGGGCGUAAGCCUGAACCAGCCAAGUAGCGUGCAGGAGGACGGCCCUAUGGGUGGUAAACUGCUUUUAUGCGGGGAUAAAGUGGCCCACGGGUGGGCUUUUGCAGGUACCGCAUGAAUAAGGACCGGCUAAUUCCGUG